ACUCCCUUGACGGUACUUAAUGAAUAAGCCCUGGCUAAUUAUGUGCCAGCAGCCGCGGUAAUACAUAAGGGGCGAGCGUUAUCCGGAAUUAUUGGGCGUAAAGGGUGCGUAGGCGGUUUAAUAAGUCUAUAGUUUAAUUUCAGCGCUUAACGCUGUUGCGCUAUAGAAACUGUUUUACUAGAGUGAGUUAGAGGCAAGCGGAAUUCCAUGUGUAGCGGUAAAAUGCGUAAAUAUAUGGAGGAACACCAGAGGCGUAGGCGGCUUGCUGGGACUUUACUGACGCUGAGGCACGAAAGCGUGGGGAGCAAACAGGAUUAGAUACCCUGGUAGUCCACGCCGUAAACGAUGAGUACUAAGUGUCGGGUAAAACCGGUACUGAAGUUAACACAUUAAGUACUCCGCCUGAGUAGUACGUACGCAAGUAUGAAACUUAAAGGAAUUGACGGGACUCCGCACAAGCGGUGGAUCAUGUUGUUUAAUUCGAAGAUACACGAAAAACCUUACCAGGUCUUGACAUUUUCUUGCGAAGUUAUAGAAAUAUAAUGGAGGUUAUCAGGAAAACAGGUGGUGCAUGGUUGUCGUCAGCUCGUGUCGUGAGAUGUUAGGUUAAGUCCUAAAACGAGCGCAACCCUUGUCGUUAAUUGCCAGCAUGUAAUGAUGGGGACUUUAACGAGACUGCCAAUGAAAAAUUGGAGGAAGGUGGGGAUUACGUCAAAUCAUCAUGCCCCUUAUGAUCUGGGCUACAAACGUGAUACAAUGGUUGAUACAAAGAGUAGCUGAAACGCGAGUUCUUAGCCAAUCU
rnacentral:rRNA from 1 species